AUAUGAUGUUUUAUGAAAGAUAAUGUCCUUUUGUCACAUUGUGCACUAAGAGUAUUACUUUUCUAUUUUGUGUGGGGAAGGCUGUAAUAUCUGUUCAGCUCUAUCAAGAACAAAUGUACAGAGCGUCCCACCUAUUGAGACACUGCCUUAUUUCAGAAGAAUACUGGUCGGGAACUGAGAUAGAAAUGGAGAGACUAUCAAUUAUGAUUGACAGAGCAUCAUGACUGAUUAUCAGAAAUGAGAAAAUAUAAAA
rnacentral:lncRNA from 1 species